rnacentral:rRNA from 1 species
GUGAGGAAUUUUCCGCAUUGGGCGAAAGCCUGACGGAGCAAUGCCGCGUGAAGGAUGAAGGCCUAUGGGUUGUAAACUUCUUUUCUCAGAAAAGAAUUAUGACGGUAUCUGAGGAAUAAGCAUCGGCUAACUCUGUGCCAGCAGCCGCGGUAAGACAGAGGAUGCAAGCGUUAUCCGGAAUGAUUGGGCGUAAAGCGUCUGUAGGUUGUUUAAAAAGUAUUCUGUCAAAGAUUAGGGCUUAACCCUAGAUAGGCAGAAUAAACUUUUAAGCUAGAGUUUGGUAGAGGCAGAGGGAAUUCCCGGUGGAGCGGUGAAAUGCGUAGAUAUCGGGAGGAACACCAAAGGCGAAGGCACUCUGCUGGGCCAAUACUAACACUGAGAGACGAAAGCGAGGGGAGCAAAUGGGAUUAGAAACCCUAGUAGUCC